GUUGGACUAGAUGACCCUUGGGUCCCCUUCGAGCUCUAGGGUUUACAACGCGAGGCCCGCCGCGCCGGAGGUUGACUGGGGCGGCGUCUGGGGACACUUGCCGCGCAAUGAGAGGCUAUGAGAGUUUUUCGGACCCGGGGGGGUUUCCCUUUAGCGCGCGGGGAAAGGCCGGCCAAAAUCUCGCGAGGAGAUGUGAAGGCGGCGGCGGCGGCGGCGGCUGCAGUCGCGGAGCAGGGCGGGUUCGUGUGUCGAGGAAGCGCGCGUAGCAUCCGGCUGCGGUGGAGUCUUGCAAGUGCGGUGCUGCGCUGCCCGGCAAGGGGUUCUCACGUUGCAGCGAGCCCAAAGGGCAGCCGACGUGGUUGCAGAGAAAAGCUGGUUUAGAAGGUUUACGCUUUAUAUUUAAAAUUAUAUCUGCUUUCUGAAAUUCUCACACACAAAAAGUUUAUUUAAGGUAUUAUUUAUAUUCCGCUUAGUUACACAAGUCAAAUUAAUAAUAACAAUAAUUAUUAUUGUACGAGGCUGCUAUCCUCAACUUAAGGCCAUUGACCAUUUUGAGAUUUACAUAUUCCCUAGAAUUUAUAUACCAAUUUAUUGCAGAAAACCUCAAAGUAAACAUGGAUUGGAUUUAUAAUAAUAAUAAUAAUUCUACAAGGCUGCUAUCCUCAACUUAAGGCCCAUUGACCACUUUGAGAUUUACUUAUUUCAAAGAAUGUAUAUACCAAUUGAAUGUAGAAAACCUCAAAGUAAAUGUGAGUUGGAUUAAUAAUGAUGAUAAUAAUAAUUUUAUUUGCACCCCCUUAUCUGGCUGGGUUGCCCCAGACACUCUGAACAAGGCAGAUACUAUUUUUCGCCAAAACAAAUGAAAGAGCAUCAGCACUUCUAAUUCUCAUCAGCCAAAUAGCCUGCCUUUUGCUACUGAACAUCACCCAGCAGUAAAGCAGCCACUGGAUAGUUGGAUCUGUUUUUAGGGUGAAUUCCCAGACAGGGCAGUGGUGUAGUCAAACAGGCCUGGGCAGUGCCGCCUUUGUACUGAGAGUGCAUCAUAGAACAUGACCUAGAAUCCCUACAAUGUGCAGGGAUUGCUUGGCAGACAAGAGGAUGUGGAAAAUGCUCCCUGAAGGCACAAAAUUUGGCCUACAGCAAAAUUUGCUCCUUCAGGAAAAGGCUAGAGGUCUUUUCUUGGCUGUAUGAGCUUACCAGAAGACUUUGCCACUUUAUAUAUAAUGUCUAUAUUUAGGUCCGUUUCUCAUGUUGGUUUUCAUUUGUCUAUUUCCUUAGGUUCAAUUCUGACUCCUAUCCCAUUCCACCCUUUCAAUUUUAGAGCAUGUCUAUGCAGGGAUUCCUAUUUAUUUAACUAAGGCUUCAAUGUGCUUAUUUAAAGUGCAUUGUCUCUGCAAGCUUUAUGACCUAAUGCCAAUCCCUUCUUCUCUGAUAUAUCAGAUCCGGAUGCUGGCAGUACCAUUGUGAGUACAAAAGUAUGUACAUCCUAAGGUUUAAUGGUGGCACAGGAAUCUUCCAUGCCAGGAUGUUGUUUACAAAUCCACAAACAUAAUAAGCACAUGCUUAUUGUUGAAAAACAGCAGCAUGUGAAAUCCAGAAAACCAUACAAAACUUCACAUUUCCCCCCAGUUCAUGUUACCUUCAUUUCUGUUUUCAUGAGUUGAUUUCUUCCAUUGAUUUUGGCACUCGGAACUCUCAUUAUGUAUGAUCUGAAAUUUAUCUAGAUUGUGAGUCACCAUGUCUUGUUUCAUCCUAUUUUAAAAUUAUUUGCAGCUUGGUGAGUUGCCAACUUUAGGUCAUAUACAAGUCUGGUUCAACUAAAGUCAUUGAAAAAGUGAACUCAUGAUAUGAACUUGAAAUUCUCUUUUUACAUUGCCUGCCUGCCUUAUUUGAUGUGACUACCCUUGCUGUUGCCAUUUCCCAGUGUGCUACAAUGAGUGCAUUUUUAAAUAUUUGGCUGAAUCCGGACUAAAUUGUACUGAGUUCCCUUUGAAAUCAAUGGGGAUUAAGCCAUGAGGCUAGGCCACUGAAAAUAUAAAAGUGGUUAAAAAUGAAUGACAAUUCUAUUUUUAAGCUUAGCAGCCACUACUAUGUUCAAGGGAACUGAACAGCCUAUUCCAUCCCAAAAUUCUGGAGCUUGUUCUUUCAGAAAAAGCAUACGCUGCACUAACGGGUUAAAUUAUAGACUAAUGAAAGCAGUUCUGCAGUUAAAGUUGAUGACCAAUUUCAGUAUUUUCUUAUUACAACCGGGAACUACAGCAACAUGUUGCAGAGUAGUUCUAGCCUGUAAUACGAGUAUCUCUGUUCUGGGCUCAAGUUAGGCUAGAAUUGGAGUCUUGUGGCCUUAUUUAGGCCCGGGGGGGUGUUCAAGAGGGAAAGGGGAAAAAACCAUGCCUUUUUCUUUCCUCUACCCAGCGUUUCCCAGCUUUCGUAUAGUGCUGUGGCUGCCAGCCUAUAUGUUAUAAAGCUAUACAUAGUGGCCUGCAGAAUGGGAAAGGUGAAAUGUGCAUUUCCCCCUUUCCUUUCAACUGAAAUAUCCCUGCAUAUUGCACGGAAGAGAAUUAUUUAUACCUGCGGCAUGUAUCUCCACACUGGUAAUUAUACUUCCCUCUAAGGUUCUUACCAUAAGUUGCUAGGGCAGAGAUGCCAAGCAUGUCUGUCCAAAUAAAUGCUGAGAACUACAAUGUUCAUGAUCCCUGACCAUUGGCCGUGUGGCUGGGGCUGAUCAGAACUAGGAGUCCCCCACCUAUUUCUUAGGACCUUGAGUAGCUAAUCCCCCAACUUCCAGCCCCCCAGUUUUAUUUUUCUCAGCUGGCACGUCAAUGCUCUGUAUGUUUCUUUUUUAAAAACAUUUUCAUUCACAGAUUUAAUUAUUGAUUCACAAGCACAUUUCCACACUGCCUUCCGGCCCUCACAGCAGUUUACAAUAACAGUCGAAACAGGUAAAAUAACUAAAACAAAUUAACAUGUCAAAACAGAAUUUGAACAGCCAGAGGAAGUUGAGAAGUUAAAAAAUUAAGAAACAUUGAUAGCCAGAUGGAAAAAAUACUGACUGCCUAAAACCUUCAAUUUAUAUUUCUGCCAAUCAUAUCUACCAUAAAGAGUCCCACAAGCAUGUGCAAACACUACCUAAUUUUGGGGUGGUGCCAUCACCUGCGUUCACCAUUGGUAUACAGUCGUACCUUGGAAACCGAAUGGAAUCUGCUCCAGAAGUCCAUUCGACUUCCAAAACGUUCAGAAACCAAAGCACGGCUCCUGCAGCCAAUCAGAAGCCCCUUCGGACAUUCGGUUUCCAAAAAUAGUUCGCAACCUGGAACUAUUUGCGAUGUUAGGGAGCCAAACCGUUCGAGAACUAAGCUAUUUGAAAACCAAGGUAUGACUGUAUACGAUAAAGCAUUAAAAUCCUAUUUAUUGUGCUAUUAGGUAAAGGUAAAGGGAUCCCUGACCAUUAGGUCCAGUCGUGGCUGACUCUGGGGUUGCGGCGCUCAUCUCGCUUUAUUGGCCGAGGGAGCUGGCGUACAGCUUCCGGGUCAUGUGGCCAGCAUGACUAAGCCGCUUCUGGCAAACCAGAGCAGCGCAUGGAAACGCCGUUUACCUUCCUGCUGGAGCAGUAUCUAUCUACUUGCACUUUGAUGUGCUUUCGAACUGCUAGGUUGGCAGGAGCAGGGACCGAGCAACAGGAGCUCACCCCGUUGUGGGGAUUCGAACCGCCGACCUUCUGAUCGGCAAGUCCUAGGCUCUGUGGUUUAACCCACAGCACCACCCACGUCCCUAUAUUGUGCUAUUACCCGGUGCAAAUGUAAAAGUGUGCAUGUUUCUUUCUUUGGUCUUGCUACUGCAUUGCUGUGAGCAAGCCAUGGUUUGUUGUCUGAACUUGUGCUUUGUCUUGUGUCAGACACCACGAGCUGUAACCAAGGAUUGUUGGUUUGUCUGGGGGAGACAAACAACAACAACAAGCCCUGGGACAGAUGGGGACAUGCUAAGCCAAACCAUGGCUUAGGUUGCAGCAACAGGACUGGCAGGGGUGGGAGCAAAGUGGCAGUCUCCUCUCCAGGAGCGCACAUGUUUAGACUAAACUGUUGUUUGGCUUAGUAGCACCUGCAAAGCGAGCCAUUAAAGACAGGAAAUUCAGCAUGGGAAGAAUCUGUCUUGUAAAGGGCAUGAUCUGACAAUCGUUUUUCAAAAUAAGUUCUCAGGAAAGAUGAUUAAUAGUUAAAAAGUUGAACAGAGGUACAUGUAUAAAUUACUAACAGGGUUAAAGGAAAGUUGUACUUUGAAGCCGCAUGUCUGUGCUGGAUUAAAGAAUGGAUGGUACUAAAUUAUACAGAUAUACUUGAUCUUGAAGGAUGGGACAACCAUUACAGUUGGCCCUCAUAUCUGUGUUGUAAUAAGGUAAAAGUCCACAGAAGAUUCUUAAAUCAUAUAAUCUGAAAACCCUUAUACAAGGUAUGGGGAAAAAUAAAAGCCUCUUGUAACCUAAAACACCGUGGUGGCUCUCACCAUUAGAGGCCAUCUUGGUAAAGAAAAAGAACAUGGAGGGGAAAUGGACAACCUAUAAAGCGUUAUUGAAAGAAGAACAGGGUCAACUUAAAUCUAAAAAAGUUUGAGGAAAUAGUUAAAAAGUUGAACAGAGGUACAUGUGCCCAACGCCAGCAACCAUUUUUGCGUCUCGCCUACCCACCCUAGCAUAUCUUAUGCUUUGUCCUGUUGGUGGUUCAGAUUCGGUUAACAUUUUAAGGAGAUUACAACGGUGUCCCCUCAGCUUGUUUUAUGAAGACCUGUUAGUUUGUGUGGCGUUUCAGACUUCCCGUUUAAAACAAGCCAUUUGAUUGAAGUUGUGGAAACCGUGUUUAGUUUGGCAGGCUGCAGCUUCUGAGGUGGAGCUUGUUUCCCCAAAUUAAAAUGGCCAUCCCCAGAGCGAGAAGAUGUCUUGCUGCAUGCUUUCAUAUCGUUUCUUUGCCCGUUGCAUGCUCCUGGGGUUUCCUUUGUGUUUGCAUGUGAUGUGGUAUUGCAUAUCUCCCAGACGCUGAGGUCUAGCGCUGAGGGCCUUCUGGCGGUUCCCUCAUUGCGAGAAGCAAAGCUACAGGGAACCAGGCAGAGGGCCUUCUCGGUAGUGGCGCCUGCCCUUUGGAACACCCUCCCAUCAGAUGUCAAAGCGAUAAACAACUACCUGACAUUUCUGAAUGACAUCUGAAGGCAGCCCUGUUCAGGGAAGUUUUUAAUGUGUGACAUCUUAGUGUAUUUUUGGUCUUUGUGGAAGCCGCCCAGAGUGGCUGGGGAAACCCAGCCAGAUGGGCGGGGUACAAAUAAUAAGUUGUUAUUAUUAUUAUUAUUAUUAUUAUUAUUAUUAUUAUUAUUAUUAUCGCAGUUUUGUGUGACAUGCCUCUGCAUUUGUUUGCACGUGCCGUGCUGCCAUGGGUGUUUGCCUAUAUUGUUCUGGCUUCAUGGGUUGCUGCACAUUUUUUUUAAUGUCGUGGACAAACUGGCUUGAGUUAAUUAUUCAUCUGGUAAUUAUUCAGCCAGGUAAUAUAAAUAACAAUCACAUAUAUUAUUCAAUUAGUAGUUAUUCUCGUGUCAAAGCUUUUCAAUGGCUUUCUCCGACUCCCUUACCAAAUAAAGGUUGGCAAUGCAUGGGGAUGUCUUUUCAGCCUGGCAGCCCUAUUCUCUGGUGAGCAAUCUGCUGUGGCCCGCAGGCCAGGGAUGGGCAGGGCCAGAGGCGAAAGCGGAUGUGGUCAUGCAGAAUGAGCAGAACAGUGGGUAGGACUCUUGCCUCUGUACAGUAGAUUGCAUUCCAGCUGCACAAGGCCAGAUGUUUCUGCACAAAUGCACUCCACACUUUUCAUCCAGGCAAGCGAGAGGCAUUGUCACAGUUUGAUGACACACACAAAAGCAUUCAGUGUGAGACUCUUAAUCGCUGGGUUCGAGUCCCAUGUUGGGGAAAAAGAUUUCUGCGUUGCAGGGGGUUGGACUAGAUGACCCUUAUGGUCCCUUCCAACUCUACAAUUCUAUGAGCAAUGAUUUCAAUUUACAAGAAAGGAGAUUCUGACUAAAUGUUCGGAAAAACCUUUUGACAGUAAGAGCUGUUUGGGAAUGGAACAGACUCCCACGAGAGGUGGUGGACUCUCCUUCCUUGGACGAUUUUAAACAGAGGUUGGGUGGCCAUCUGACAUGGAUGUUUUAGCUGAGAUUCCUGCAUUGCAGGGGGUUGGAGUAGAUGACCCUUGGGUCCCUUCCAACUCUCUAUGAUUCGUUCAAGGAGGGUGUAAAGCCUAGGGGUGUGUGAUGCCUAGGGAGAAUCCCAGGGACCAGACAGAGAGUUAUGGAGGGCUGCAUUUGGCCCCUGCGCCUGAGGUCUCCCCUUCCUGGUUUAGGUUUUAAUGUAGACAGUAAGGUUCAAUCAUACAUAAGGACUAGGCUGCUGCCUGGGGUAUCAUAAUUCAAAUAAUUACUGCCACUCCAAAAGCAGCAAGUCUCAGCCAGCGCUCAAAAUCAGCCAGGCGCACUUUGUGAGUAGGAAUAGUCUGAUUUGAGAAAUCUUGGUGCCAUGCACAGAGACUUGAGAUUCAAGAUUUUAAUCUUGCAGGAGGAGAACCGACUCUAAAGUAAGAUCGCUGGCUGCUGCCUUCCAAAGUGCUACUUUGCCUCCCCUCCCCACCCCAAACAUGUAAGUUCAAAUCUAGCACAAUAUUUUACAUAACACACACCCACGUAUUUGUAAAUAUUACUUAUUCAAAUGACUUGCGGUUUGGGCCACUAUUGCAGGGGCUGUGCCUCAUUUAUGUUUGUGGUGUCUAAUUAAGAAUUGCUAUUAAAAAUGUGACGUUAACACUGUGUCACUGGUGUGAAUUGUGUAUUAGUUCAUGUGUUAAAAUAAUUAAUAAUAGAAAGUGCCGCUAAACUGAGAGGGAGACGACUAGCCAUUCUCUUUUAGUGCUCAUAACCUCAGUUCCAGCAGCCAUGUGGCAGAUAGCUUUUCUAUCUCUAUUUCUAACAGUGGAGUUGUUUGGCUGGUUCUUGCGCAGCUAUGCUCCCUAUAGAAACUGAGAAUUUGCCCCAAAUCCUUUCUGCCAUCAUGACCUCCCAACCACUCCCAUUAUCUUUCAGCACAAUAGCCCAAACCGUUAUGCUGUUGUUUUAGUUUUAGUAAGAUUUAGCUCUUAACACUGCAGGGUGAUCAAAUUACUAUCUUCAUGCUAUGUGUAAUCAGUCACAUUGUGUUGGGAAAAGUAUCCCUGAAAGUGAAAUGGAGCAUUCAUUUAGCUGUACAUAAAAAUAGUCCGUAACAAUUAGUCAUAAUAUUUUGAUGCAUAAUGUAUCUAACUGAAACUGUAUAUUAAAUACUUUUCGUAAUAGAGCAUGACUGAUAUUUUAUGGUAAUAAAUUAUGGAUUUCAUCGUGUAAAUAAAGAAUAACACAAGUAAUGACGUGUAAUAUAAAUAUAAAUGGGAAUGGGACAAUGGAGAAUUGUAGAAGGUGGAACAUAUUACUUUAUAGGGUCUGAAAUAUAAAGCAGUCUUAUCUUCUCCUGCCCAAGAGAUACACUAAAUAAUUUUAUUCAGAGUUAGGAACUGCUUUGCAGUAAAGCCAGAGGGUGAUAUCCAACAUUAGUCAAGCUCAGAUUUGAUCUACUGAUUUCAUAGGUUAUCCUUUUAAGUAGGACUUAGUUGGAUAGUUCCCAGAGCGUUUGGCCACGAUCCAACAAAGGGACACAUGUGAAUGCGCGUGAACUGCACAUAUAGCCAGAGUUUCACGUGGCAGCUUUUAUGGGUGCCACUUCAGGUUUGGGUAAAAAGUUGCCAAAAAGCACUCGCAACAAGGGAAUGCUCACAAGAAGAUUCAGUGGCCUUUCUGUUAUCCCCCACCUCCUUAUUUCCUUUAAUAUGCUCUUUUGGAAGAAACCGGAAAUUCAACAUCUCCCACCACCCCAAACUAAAGUUGAUUAAAUAAGGGACAAGUAAUGAAGAAUUUAUUUCUAAACCAUCAAGUAGGAAAGUAGUAAUCUUAGCUGGACCUGCAAUCAGGAAUGUUUUCCUUACCAUUAAGAAGGGGCUUGUGAAUAGACGUUGGAGACAUCCUUGGCAUAGGGAAGGGAAUUGCUGGAUAACCUUGUGCUUUAGUAAUUGCUUGCCUGCUGAUUGUGGAGAAAUUCAGCAUCACUAGACAACCUAGCUAGAGAGUAUUUGUGAUAAGAAUGAGAGACUGAGGUGUAAAGAAUGUCUCAACUGAUAGCCUGUUUCUAUGCGGAAUAAUACUUAAUACAGAUAAUGGAUUAAUGAGAUAAUGUAUUAUCUCAAAAUGGUGUCAUUUAUACCAGUCCUUUGUAAAACCAUAAAAUUUAGUAGCAGGGAUGCUAUUAACGCCACAUAAGUGAUGCAAUUAGGAGAAGGUAAAUAUCAAGAAAGCAAAGAAAUGCAGAAUUCCUGCUGCUGUCAUUAAGGAGCAUAGUAGUCUUGCCUCUGCUGCAACAUGAGACAGUAAAACAAUGAAUUAUAAAAUUUACAACACCUGUAUAAUGGCCAUGAGAACGGUGAAGCAAGAUUUAUGCAGUUAAUAUUUUAUAGAGAGGAAAUGGCAAAGAACUGGAAGACCUGUGCACUAUAAUUUUGAAUAACCACUUUAGAACUGUAGGUGUGGUGUCUAAUGAAUGGUUUAAGGAAAUGACUGGUGUUUUCUGAUUUAUUUGAUUAUCUUAUGUCGUACUGAAGAUAUAGGGCUUGUGUGCUUGUCACAGAGUAGGUGGGUGGGUAACUAUACAAUUAUUAUAAAGCUAGGUGUGUCUAUAUCUUGGUUAUAUUAAUUAUUGCUUACGUACAGCUUAAAAAUAAUUGAAGCACUGAAUAUCCAAUACACACACAUACAUAUAUACAUAAAACAAUGUAUGUGUGUGUAACACACAAUUGUAUAAGUUACAGAUUUAAUUCAGAUGACGAUCCGAAUCAUAGUUUGGAGGAUUGGGAAUGUAUUACAGACUUAUGCGUCUUACCCUACUCUCCCUCUUCCUCUUUUGCCAAUCUCACUUCCAUUUCCAGCUUUUUACAAAUUCACAGCAUGUCGGUGGGCCCUGAUGUGGAUCAUAACUCCAGGUUGAGUGGGGUGGUUGGGGUUGUAGAAGGUUUUAAGCCUUUGCUCUCUGCUGUGGUCCCAUAUGAUGCAGGACCUGCAUGCUGCAGCUUGCGUGGGGGGGUGUCAGGCCCCUUUUCCUUGGGUGGAGUUGGACUCCCUGAUCUGUUUUGGGACUACAGUGAGAGUUUAAAACUCCUACCCCUGUGCCACGCUCCUGAUCCGAUUUGCCCCACCAACAACUGGCAAUUUGUGAAAGAAAAAAUCUGUGCUCAAGGGCAAACUGUAGGAUUGAAAUCAGCAUGGUUGUGAACCUGGCGGUUUUUGUUAGCGCUCUUCUCUGAAGCAUGACUUGCAUGCUUUCAAAUAAAGGUUUUUAAGUUAAUGUUAAGCAUAGUUUGCAGACAUCAUGGUAACGUGGGUAAAAGAAACCUGGAGAUGAAGAAUAAGGCAGACAAUGAAAGGUAUCCCAAGCUAGGAUUGCAAUGUGACAUCUGAACUGGGCCAUAGGCUAAAACAUGUUCAUUCACAGGAUUGUAGUCAUAAUCCAGUUCACUUGUGAGCAUUUAGUUCUAAUUGAAAUCAAUGACUCUGCCAGAUUGUGAUCUUUAUAUCUUGAAAUCAGUGAGCACUUUUCGGUCUGAUUUAUGUCAGUAGAACAGUUAAGCAUGUACAGUACUUAAAUCCCUCUCAUUUAAAUAAGUUGUACUGACAGUCAAACUGUGUGUAUGAUUACUUUGAGCUAAGUUUCAUGUGACUCCUUGUAUUGUGCCAUUUUAUUUAUUUAUUUUUUGCUUUAUGCAUACAUCACUACUCCAAAUAACGCUGAUCUUUUUUGAGGGCUCAUUUGAAAUUCAGAUUUCCCUGCAUGGAUUUUUUUCUAUUAACUCCAGGAAGGUUGCUAUUGAGCACAAUUAUUCCCUCUAUUUCCAAUGUUCAGAGUGUGAGCGCCAUUUUUUAUGUAGCCAAACUGCCACUGGCCACAUGCAAGAAGGAGAUAUCGGCAGGUUUAGGAAGAAUCUAAAGGAUUGCAGAAGGAAGAAACAAUGUUUCUUGGGGAGGGGGGGAGACCCUAAGGGAGUUUUUAUUAAAAACCCACCAACCUCCAAACAAGCAAAUGAGUACAGAGUGACUGCUUAGGGAUAUGGGGAAGAGAAAGUCAAGUUUGAUGGGAAAUGGAAUGGAAUAUCUUGGCAAAGGGGAUGGCUCAGUGAAUGGAAUGAUGAACAGGAGCAUCUUGUUUCAGGCCUACUCUUCUAUAAUUAUUUUAUAAAGAAUAAUUCACAGACUCAUUGCCAUUCAAAAUGUUUGCUCUCUUUUGAUGUCUUAUUUUUCAUUUUUGUGCCCCAUAAAUAUACAUAGGCACUGUACUGUGAUGGUGUGAGGGAAAGGCUUAUCUUAUAACCUGUUACUGGUGUUACCUUCCCCCCUGGAUAUUGGACAAAUUCCUAAACAAAUAUUGUAUAACCAUGAGGCAUCUUAUGUAUAUUUGUGUAUUAAAACAGACCAACACUUGCUUUUCUUUUUCUUGUUUAAUGGUACCAUAUUUCUGAAAGUUUGCCAGGCACGUUCCAUAAUUAAGCUCUUCUGGCUGAAACACUUCUAAGCGAUUUUCAUUGCUGGCCGGAUGCGGGGAUGGGAAAGCUCAUUUCAGCAAGUUAGUAUGAUUUUUAUACUUGCUACUAGGUAUUCUGCCUUCCAGCUCGGGUUACUGUUGGUUUUUCCUUGCAUGCAGCAGUCUAAAAUCAAGACCACCAUUAACAGUAAGAACAGUAAGAAAAAGUUAAUCUUCCAAAAGGGCUACGUUUUUAGAACUUGAUGUUUGCAGCUGACAUUUUCACAUUGCAUCUUUUGAAUGCUUAGUUAAACAUGCUUAGAUGGAUCCACAAGUACCAUUUGUCUUGAAUCAGAACACCUAAAUAGUAGGUACUGACUUUCUUCUCCCUGUUCUGGUCUUAGCUAGAGAAGGGAGCGAUGGGAGUAUCAAGUUAGAUUUCUCCCACUGCGGUCUAGAAUCCUGUCCUGGGGUAUCAGGUAACUUUCAGCAACCAAGGAUUCUAAGCUGCUGAUGGAUGCAAAAUUCACUCUCUCCUUGUGGGCAACUUGUUGCCUAGAAAGGUCACCUCUGCGCUGUAUCCCCCCAACUGGUUGUCAGUCCUUGGCCAGAUGACCCAACAAAACGAGAUUCAUAAGUGUGUUGGCUGAGCUUAAGAAAAGGGUCAUAAACGAGACGCCAAAAGCCCCCGAGACAAUAGGAUCAGCUUGACUAUGUGAGGAUGGCACAAAGUACUAAUGAUAACCUCCCAAGUGUUCUCUGAACAAGGAGGAAGCAUAACAUACCUAUCUUACGCUGCGUUGCUCUGCCGAGGGUAAAAUACAGUCCAGAUUGUGGGUGGAACAGCUGCUGCUAACAGUCCCGGUUGAUGCCACAUGGUUAUUACUCCUGCUUUGUUCAGUAUGUCUGAAGAAGGGCAUACCAACAUUCCCCAUGUCAAUAUUUAUAUCAGAAGGGAUAUGCUCUCCCUCUGCAAAUGCUACUGUUGUCUUAAGCUCCAGUUACAGAAUUAGUCUUGUCAAGUCCAUUUAUGUCCUGCCUCAAGUACUUAGCCAUUGAUUCAGUGAAUGUGUGGAAUCUUUCUGCAGCCAUCAUUGGUAUGAGAACCAUGGCAUCCCUGAUGAACAGUGUGGCUUCUUUAUUGCAUGCUUUGAACCCCAUGGAUUCUUUCAGCUCUUUGUGCUGGUUUUCCUACCUUAUCUUCAGAUGGCAAGGAGGCAGCUUAUAGGCAGGGCUUUUUUUUCAUCUGGAACUCAGUUCCAGAACCUCUCAGGUGGGCGCCAUUGCCAUUAUAAGAGAACAAGGGAGUUGUUCAUGGUGCAUUCUGGCACCUAUUUUUCUAGAAAAAUAGCACUGGUUAUAGAUACAAAUGAGUCAGCCAAGAACAGCUAAGCCACACAAUAACUUCUGCACAUUCCUUCAAAAUAAAUCUGUAAUUUAAAAAAAUUAAUAUAUUGACCAAAAUUGCUGGAAUUAAUGCCAAAAUUUGAUUUGGUUUUAGUCAUAGCACCAAAUGCUAUGCCAGGAUUUUUGACUGAGCAAAAGGUUCCAUCUUAAUCGAGUUUGCUUUGCUGGCCACAAAUCUUUUUAUUUGUCAUACAUUAGCAUUCAUUUCGCCAGAUGCUGUUGACAUCUGGUGUUACAUGCUGCCCAGGAAAUAUGUUAAGCAUUUUAUAUGUGAUAUAAGACGAAACGUGCUUGUGAUAUCCCAAUAAGAAAUGAGCAUGUUCGCCUAACACAAGGGUUGUCAACCUUGUCCCUACCGCCCACUAGUGGGCGUUUCAGGAUUCUAGGUGGGCGGUAGGGGGUUCUACAGCAGAAGCAGAAUCCUCCUUCCAUCGAGCACUGGUGGGCGGUAAGGAAAUUUUACCAUCAAGAAAGAUGCAUUAGUGGGUGGUAGGUAUAAAAGGGUUGACUACCCCUGACCUAACAUCUAGCAGUAAGACUCAUAUCAGGAGCGAAUCGUAAAUAUUACACAACACGUGUCUUGAAGGAAGUGAGUGCCCAUGUUUUAUAAGCCCAGUCUGAUGUCUUUAUAUUGACCCUUAAAGCUCUAAAAUGUUUAGGCCAUGGAUACCUAAAACAGCAACUUUCUCCAUAUAUACCAUUGUUUUCAGAAGAGUAAUUGUCGCCUGUGAGAUCUAUAAGGCUUGUCCAGCCAAACACAGAGUGGGGAGGCUAUACUGUGUCAUUCUCUAGUGGCAGGUGUGCUGUUGUCACCUGCCUUAUGUGCCAGUUCAUGCAGCCUCCCUGCCCCACCUGCUGUGCAUCAUUCUCAUCCCCAGCCAUCGAUACGCUCCUGUGUGAAUCGUAGCUCAGGUUGGUGACUGGGUUGCAUUGCACUGGUGGGGUGGGCCAGGCUUGAGUUGUCCUUUUACCAUUUUUGUUCCUCUCUGGCUUCCCGUCUCUCUGCCAGUUGGGAGAUGGAGCAUGCAUUGCCUUCACAGCUCUGGCCGACACGAGCUGUCCUUAAGACUUUUCUAUAUCCUUCCCACUUCUGGCCUCCUCCCCCCACUGGUUAUGGGAUAAUUCAUUCCGUAGAAUUCCCAGUCCAGUAGGCACUUCGUGAAGAUGCUUCCGUUUGGUGGCUGUGCUCUUAAUCCAUUUCACUUGCACACACCUGCUCCCCACCCCCCACCCUGCCUUGAUUCUUUCAUGGCAAUAUCAGGCAUUUUCUUCUUGAUGGCAUUUGUGCCAGUUGCGACAAUGUGAGCAUUCAUUUGUGUGUCCCUCCGACUCUGCUAGCCAUUCUCCAGUCUUGCUUAUGCCCUUGCAAGCCUUUGAGCGAACAACGACUAAUGUGGACCAGGAGGAUGUUCCCCCUGUGUAGAUUUGAAAGAUGGGAUUUUGCGAAUGCCUGUUUAUGCUUUCUUGCAUUAGAGUAGGAGGUAAACCUAUGUCUUGUUGGGGGGUUGGGAAUCAAACCAGCCACUCUAGGGGUGAAUGCUUGCUUGUGCUUUGUUAUAGCACACUAAGGAGUUUGCUUUGCUGAGGCCACAGUUUCUUUUGGGCUCUUUGUGCGUCUUCCAUGUCUGUAGCGUGUAGCAUUGUGACAGACAUGUCCUUGGCAUAUAGCCUGCAUGGAUCGGUUCCCUGUGCUUCUGUGUUAUAUAAUCACUGGCUCUGCCCAACAGGGGUGUAGUGUUGAUGCGUCUAUGUCAUUCUGCCAUUUUGGGAUUUUCUGGUUGUGCAUGUUUCCUCCUCUGCCAGACAGAGCAAGUAUAGGAUACAACAGCCUUCCUCAUCCCCUGGUAUAAUGUACGGUUGCUCUGCCGAGCCCAUGUGCACUGAAAUAUUGCUCACAUCUGCACUAGAUUCAGACAGAUGUAAAUGUUUCAGGCUUUGUGCGUUGAACUCAGUUGCAGGAUUCAUGGAUUUGCCCUGCUUAAAGAGGGGUGAUUUGUGUGCUCUUCCUUCAGUUGCAAUAUAGACUGUGCAGAGGAAGCGUACUUAUCUUGUGACCCACUAAUCCAGCUGCAGCACAACAGUCCCAAAUGUCAGCUCUUGAAAGGCUUAAUAAAUCUGCCAGCGGGGGGGUGGGGGGGUGGAGUUUGCUGUCUGCCUAACCCUGCAAAAGUGGAAAAAUCUAAAGCAUUUUACAAACCAUAGCACAUGGCUGGUGCUUUGUAAGCCUUUUGAAAACGAGGUAUUUGGUCUUUGUGCAUUUUGGCCCUCCUACAAGUUGCUUUGAGGAGUUUUCUCCGGGUCUUCAUUCAGGUAUUGGAUCCUGGCUGACAGCUAACUUUCAGAAUAUCCUCCGAUAAAAAGUGUCUCAUGCUUUCACUUUUCACACUCUCAGUCUACUGUCUUAAGGGAAUCUGUGGCAUUUUUUCUCAGAUUUUAUUUAUUUAGCAAGCCUUUUGUCCCAUUUAAUCAACAAAAACUUCUAAAUGGUUUGCACAGAACAGUAUAAAAUCUUCAUUAAAAAUACAGAUGAUUACCUCUCCAGCUUGUUGGUUUCAGCAAUGCACUGGUGAAGUGUCUGGUUCUUCCCAGAUAUUUCCGGAAGUCCACGGCCAGGAGUUGAGCUUUUCUUUCUUUUUUUAAGGUUAUUGUUGCUAGUUGGAUCUCGCCUUCGUUUGUUACCUUUUCCAGCAUCAUUCCCACUAAUGGUGAACUCAGCCGAUGAGUUCCAGCAGGACUGUGUCCAAAACAACAGAAGCUGAAAAACGGGAGGAAGGAAUUGGCAUGCUCAGAGGAGACCCAUAGUUUGCAGGAACACCUGUGCACACUUUCUAAGGGGGCAGUCUCCCUGCUCAAAAAGGACUGAGCAUCCUCAGUGGCCACAUAAUAUUGAGUGUCUGUUGUGUAGAACAUAAUAUUAGUAAAUAAAGGGAGAAUGUAGUGUCUUGGCUGACGAUGGAACUUUGCCCAGGCACAUCACACUGCAAUAUUGUGUUGUACGUCCUAUGCGUUCUUUCCUAAUGAGUUACCAGGCAGUCUCAGGUCUGCCUCAUAUGUGCUUGAAGCUGUUGUGUGCAAAAGCUCCCUCCCCCCAUUUGUUGAGUGCAAUGAUACUAGCACUGCAUAUAAGGAAUCAUUGGCCCCCUAUAAGGUGUUGAGCCUUUCUGGGUAAAGAAGGCUUUCUUUCACUUGUGGGUUCUACUUGCAAACAUCUCCCCAUCCACUGGUAAAAAGAAAAAAAGGUAAAGGACCCCUGGAUGGUUAAGUCUAGUCAAAAGCAACUAUGGGCCACGGGUGGCACUCUGGUCUAAACCACUGAGCCUCUUGAGUUUGCCAAUCAGAAGGACGGUGGUUCGAAUCCCUGUGAUGGAGUGAGCUCCCGUUGCUCGGUCCCAGCUCCUGCCAACCUAGCAGUUUGAAAGUAUGCCAAAAGUGCAAGUAGAUAAAUAGGUACCACUGUGGCGGGAAGGUAAACGGUGUUUCUGUGCACUCUGGUUUCUGUCAUGGUGUUCCGUUGCGCCAGAAUUGGUUUAGUUAUUCUGGCCACAUGACCCGGAAAGCUAUCUGUGGACUAACGCCGACUCCCUCAGCCUGAAAUCUAUUUCUGCUCGGGAUGCUGUGGGAUUUGAACCAGUGGCUCAGGAAAGCCCUUCUCCUGUUGCUAUCAGGAUCAGUUUUCUGUCCUCCAAACUGCUUCGGCUGCGGCAUUAACUCUGCGAGAUGAGAUGCGAUGUACUGUGUCACCAUCUGUCUAUUGGAGAGACACAGCACCUUGGGAGAUUGGGAGAAGUCAUAAUACUAUUGCCUCAAUGUCCAAGUCUUGAUGUUACAGAAAUGACAUUUAGGGCUACAUAGGGAUUUUUCUUCCUGAAUACUUGGGAGUUUCUGUGAAAAUAAGAAAAAUGUCAACAACACCCAAGUUAUUAUCAUUUGAGAGGAAAACAUUUCAGCACCACUGCAGUAUAUUUUCAGUGUUUUCCUUGAAAUCUAAUGUUUGUUUGUUUUAAGAAACAGGUAUUUACUAAAGCCAGCUUCUAAGCUGACUCAGCUGGAACGCUCCAGCAUUCCCUAAAAUUGCUUGACUAGGAAGUGGGAACAGAGUGUUCUCAGUUUUAGGUCACCAAGGCUGUGGAUCUCUUUUCAUUUCAGCACAACAGUCAAAAGGUUUUUCACAUCCAGGUACAACACAGAGAAUCUAUCUGGAGUUGAAUUGAGGUUUAUUUGUUUGGUAAAUGGGGCUUUUUCAUAACCAUCAGCUAAUAAAAGAUUUCUUUUGCAGCAUUGUGGAAUUUAUUUAUUUAUUUUUUGUAAAAGAAAUAGUACUUGCUUCUGCCAGAGGGACAAAAUCUGUGCUCCUCAAAUCUUUUCUUCAGCAGCAAUCCCAUUGACAAAAGAGUUUGUAGUAUGACCCAUUAUUUUAUUCUUAAAGAGACCCAGUUAGUUACACAAUUGGAUGAUAGAAAAUAAGACUAGAAUUUGUUUUUCAUCAGUGGAGGCCUUCUCCUAAUAACAGACUGCUUUAUUUUUGUUGUUGGACCAUUUUACAUCUCUAAAGAACGGGGGCAGUUACAACCUUCAGGCCUUUUGGUUUGCUGCUACACAUAGCUAUUGUAUUCAUUACACAAAUCGUACCUUCUUAAAUUAAAUUAAGCCAGCAUCUGUGCACUUAUUAGGUACCUAUUAUAAGUGUUCCCGUUGCUUUUGAAAUAUUUGGCUGCCACCGUAGCCAGCUUUUAGAAAACCCUUAAUGCAUAAUGAGAUCUAAGGAACACCAGCUGUGUCUUGAAAAUGAGAACAUCAUAGCUGCCAUUACAGGUCAGAUAUCUUGCUUUUUAUCCAGCAAUCUGCAGUGACCAGUCUCACAAGCUUUAUAGGCAGCAGGGUUUGUGAUUAUUUGUGCUCAUAGUGCUAUUGGGCCACCCACGUGCGAUCCCACUUUCGAUAAUGCUUGUUCCUUCAAAGAUUUUGAGGUGGUUGCACAUUUACAUUUCCAAUCGGUGAAUAUCCCUAUCGAAAUUCUAUAGCUUUUUGCACCAGUAAUGUUUUGGUUGGUUUUCGUCCCACUUUUGUUUUGCUGUAGCCCCUCCAGACAGCAGUAAUGUGAUAGCUCCGAGGAAGCAUUGCAGAAUGAACUAAAGCAGAAUAAAGCUAUUGCUGGUCAAAGAAUUGUGGAGUUGGAAGGGACCCUGAGGAUCAUUUACUCCAACCCCCUGCAAUGCAGGAAUAUGCAGUUGUCCCAUACAGGGAUCAAACCUGCAACCUUCACAUUAUCAGCACUACCCUCUAACCAAUUGAGCUAUCCAGGCUUUAAUGGACUGUUAUUGUAUAAAAAAUGCAUAUUAGAAUACACCAAUAAUAAAAUACCAGUGUGAAUGGGCCCAAAGUAUAAAUACACAUAGGGCUUAUCCACAUUUACCUUUCCUUUGCAUUUCCCAGCCCUAAAUGGCCCAGUAUACCUAAAGGAGCGUCUCCACCCCCAUCAUUCAGCCCGGACACUGAGGUCCAGCUCCAAGGGCCUUCUGGCGGUUGACUCACUGCGAGAAGUGAGGUUAUAGGGAACCAGGCAGAGGGCCUUCUCGGUAGUGGCACCCACCCUGUGGAAUACACUCCUAUCAGAUGUCAAGGAAAUAAACUAUCUGACUUUUAGAAGACAUCUGAAGGUAACCUUGUUUAGGAAAGUUUUAAUUGUUUGAUGUUUUAUCGCAUUUUUAAUAUUCUGUUGGGAGCUGUCUACAGUGGCUGGGGAUUAUUAUUUAUUAUUCUCCAUGUCCGAGUACCCCUGCUUUUGUUUCUGUUUGCUCUGGAGCUGUCCCCAUGAAAACCUGCUCUUUAAAGCUGUAUCAGAGCAAAUGGCAAUCCACAGAAAUCCCAAAUUGCCAUUUGCUCCAACUGAGUGCUGAAGAGUAGGUUUUUGCUCACAAAGCUUAGGACACGGUGCUUUAAAGUGUGGACCUGUGUAUGUGGAUAAGCCCAUCGUGCAGAACCAGCUUAAGAGAAUUUAACAUAAUUCAUGUAUAAGAUUCUGAUUUGCCCUUGAGUCCAAAAUCAAAUUUCUCUCGAGGGUACAGGCGCUACCUUUUAUUUAGUGGGUUGCUGGUGACUUGCUUUGACGAGGCCCACCUCUUACCUUUGUUUUCACGCUUGUAAACAGACUGUCCACACACCAGAGACCUUUUCGUCCCAUCUUUGCUUUGUGUUCUCUAGCAUCCUACCCGUAGCAUCACCAAGAAUCGGAAUCGAGGGCAGGGCUGCGCAUGCAGGAGUAGACCCGAUUCACAAAGGUUCUCAUUAUGUUUUAUGGGGCGACGUAAACAGGUUUCAGUCAGCAAGACUACUGGGAGAGAAGUGAAAACCUCCCCCCCCCCCAAGAUGAGGUCAUCAGGAGCUGGAGGCAAACAUUGCAUUCACCUCCCUGAGUUAGGUAAAACACUGAACCUAGAGAUAGCAUUGCAGCAGAUGAUGGCCUCCACUGAGAAGCUAGAGACUCGUUAUAGGUAUAAGGAAUAUUGUAAUAUAAUACCUUGGUGCACAGUGUGGCCUUUUGUACCAAGAUAUUCAUUCAAGUAUGAUGUCCUGAAUUUUCCCCCAAAGCGUGCUUGACACUCAUAUUUUGUAUGACAUGUAUAGGUUCAAAUGACAAACAAAAUGUUGGUGAUUUUUUAAAAAAGUUUUGAAACUUUGCUGCAAGUAACAUCUAUGUUUAUGCAAUAUUCAUUUAUAUCUAAAAGUUUUCUUUAAUUUUCUGUUUUACAAUUUAAAGUACAGUGGUACCUCUAGAUGCGAACGGGAUCCGUUCUGGAGCCCCAUUCACAUCUAGAAGCAAACGUAAGCAGCGACAGCACGUCUGCGCACGCACAUGUCGCGUUUCGCUGCUUCUGCGCAUGCACGUGAUGUCAUUUUGAGCGUCUGUGCAUGCGCAAGCGGCGAAACCCGGAAGUAACACGCUCUGUUACUUCCGGGUUGCCGCGGAGCGCAACUAGAAUGCGCUCAUCCCGAAGCACAUUCAACCCGAGGGAUGACUGUGCUCAUUUUUUUUGCAUUUUUUACAUCCUUAAGAUAUCAGUGACUUCCUUUCUCUUUCCAUGGUUCAUUUUACAUAUUAUAUAUAUUACAUAUUAUAAAUCCCUGCAUAUUUUACCAAAACUAUACCAUUCAGUGUUCCAUUAUUACAUCUACC
rnacentral:lncRNA from 1 species